GACUCCGUAGCUCAGCUGGAUAGAGCACCUGCCUUCUAAGCCGGUGGUCGUUGGUUCGAAUCCAACCGGGGUCGCCA
rnacentral:tRNA from 1 species